GUCACAGUCGUAUAUAGAAAAGCGCCAAACUUUCAAGCUCGCUGUUGUGUCCAAAACGUUUUCUAGUCAGAGGCAGGCUUGGUGUACUGGGCCCUUACCCAACCCUGUAAUUCACCAACCCUUCUCAUCUUUAUUCUACGAAUAAACAGACAUUAAAUGGGA